rnacentral:rRNA from 1 species
AGGACCGGGUAACCGCUGAACCUCUUCCGUGGUUGGGAUUGGGGACUGCAAGGAUCCCCAUGAACCAGGAAUCCCUAGUAGGCGCAAGUCAUUAGCUUGCGUCGAUUACGUCCCUGCCCUUUGUACACACCGCCCGUCGCUACUACCGAUUGAAUGAUUUAGUGAGAACUUCGGACGACUCGCCAGGGCAGCCUCCGGGCCGCUCGUGGUGUGGUUGAAAGUUGUUCAAACUUGAUCCUUUAGAGGAAGUAAAAGUCGUAACAAGGUUUCCGUAGGUGAACCUGCGGAAGGAUCAUUA